CUUAGCUUCACGGGAGUAAAUUUACAAGGCUGUCAGGCUUGGGAUGUAAUAGGCGCUGCAAGGGGUUCUAUGUAUCAAGCGAGGUGGUCUACCUUGUUAUAGAGACUGGCCACGGGGCAGCCUAAGAAGCUUCAGAUUGCCUCGCUUUGCCUCCCGAGCAGAGAAGAAUUUCCAGGCCAAAGAUUUCUUUCCUGCUAUGUCAGACCUGACCAUGUUAAACUACAAAAGAAAAUUUCCAAGAUUUGGGCUACAGAGUGGUAGGAAAUGAAGACUGUUGGUCAAGGCAGAAUGGAUGCCAAGGGACAUUCCAGUUCUUCUUCUGGCAUUUUCUCCUUUGAGUUUUUGUCUUCACAUUUGAAAAGCUUUCUAAAUCUAAUUUUCUUCUGAACUAUAGAAAAUGGUCAGUUAGUCUAACACAAUUGAAGGUGCCUUCGGGGUGGCCCUUCUGUCUGUCUAGGCUCUCCUGGCACACAGGGCUUCCAGUGGGUGACUAUUGGACAAGAUGGCACUUGUGCCUCUGAUAACCACAGUGUCAAAUGGCUUCCUGUGAUGGGGAGCAACAGUGUACAUGCUGACUAUAGAUCUUUUCUAGAACCUGGAGGAAUAUUCUCAAGUGGUCGUGUGUGUGUGACUCAUCCUCUCACCUAAUGGAAUUCUUACCCACAGGAAAACUCUACUAAUGUGUCGAUACACUGCUGAGAAAACACCUCGGAAUUUUC
rnacentral:lncRNA from 1 species